AUGAACGCUAGCUACAGGCUUAACACAUGCAAGUCGAGGGGCAGCAUCAUCAAAGCUUGCUUUGAUGGAUGGCGACCGGCGCACGGGUGAGUAACACGUAUCCAACCUGCCGACAACACUGGGAUAGCCUUUCGAAAGAAAGAUUAAUACCGGAUGGCAUAAUUAUUCCGCAUGGGAUAAUUAUUAAAGAAUUUCGGUUGUCGAUGGGGAUGCGUUCCAUUAGGCAGUUGGCGGGGUAACGGCCCACCAAACCUACGAUGGAUAGGGGUUCUGAGAGGAAGGUCCCCCACAUUGGAACUGAGACACGGUCCAAACUCCUACGGGAGGCAGCAGUGAGGAAUAUUGGUCAAUGGACGAGAGUCUGAACCAGCCAAGUAGCGUGAAGGAUGACUGCCCUAUGGGUUGUAAACUUCUUUUAUACGGGAAUAAAGUGAGCCACGUGUGGCUUUUUGUAUGUACCGUAUGAAUAAGGAUCGGCUAACUCCGUGCCAGCAGCCGCGGUAAUACGGAGGAUUCGAGCGUUAUCCGGAUUUAUUGGGUUUAAAGGGAGCGUAGGCGGGUUGUUAAGUCAGUUGUGAAAGUUUGCGGCUCAACCGUAAAAUUGCAGUUGAUACUGGCGACCUUGAGUGCAACAGAGGUAGGCGGAAUUCGUGGUGUAGCGGUGAAAUGCUUAGAUAUCACGAAGAACUCCGAUUGCGAAGGCAGCUUACUGGAUUGUAACUGACGCUGAUGCUCGAAAGUGUGGGUAUCAAACAGGAUUAGAUACCCUGGUAGUCCACACAGUAAACGAUGAAUACUCGCUGUUGGCGAUAUACAGUCAGCGGCCAAGCGAAAGCAUUAAGUAUUCCACCUGGGGAGUACGCCGGCAACGGUGAAACUCAAAGGAAUUGACGGGGGCCCGCACAAGCGGAGGAACAUGUGGUUUAAUUCGAUGAUACGCGAGGAACCUUACCCGGGCUUAAAUUGCAACUGACGGAACCGGAAACGGUUCUUUCUUCGGACGGUUGUGAAGGUGCUGCAUGGUUGUCGUCAGCUCGUGCCGUGAGGUGUCGGCUUAAGUGCCAUAACGAGCGCAACCCUUACGGGUAGUUACCAUCAGGUUAUGCUGGGGACUCUACCCGGACUGCCGUCGUAAGAUGUGAGGAAGGUGGGGAUGACGUCAAAUCAGCACGGCCCUUACGUCCGGGGCUACACACGUGUUACAAUGGGGGGUACAGAAGGCAGCUACACGGCGACGUGGUGCUAAUCCCAAAAGCCUCUCUCAGUUCGGAUUGGAGUCUGCAACCCGACUCCAUGAAGCUGGAUUCGCUAGUAAUCGCGCAUCAGCCACGGCGCGGUGAAUACGUUCCCGGGCCUUGUACACACCGCCCGUCAAGCCAUGAAAGCCGGGGGUACCUGAAGUACGUAACCGCGAGGAGCGUCCUAGGGUAAAACUGGUGAUUGGGGCU
rnacentral:rRNA from 1 species